rnacentral:rRNA from 1 species
AUUGAACGCUGGCGGCAGGCCUAACACAUGCAAGUCGAGCGGAGCGGCGGACGGGUGAGUAAUGCCUGGGAAUCUGCCUGGUCGUGGGGGAUAACGUCCGGAAACGGGCGCUAAUACCGCAUACUAUCAGAUGAGCCUAGGUCUGAUUAGCUAGGUGGUGGGGUAAAGGCCUACAAAGGCGACGAUCCGGAACUGGUCUGAGAGGAGGAUCAGUCAGACGGGAACUGAGACACGGUCCAGAAUCCUACGGGAGGCAGCAGUGGGGAAUAUUGGACAAUGGGCGAAAGCCUGAGCCAGCCAUGCCGCGUGUGUGAAGAAGGUCUUCGGAUUGUAAAGCACUUUAAGUUGGGAGGCGUUACCAACAGAAUAAGCACCGGCUAACUUCGUGCCAGCAGCCGCGGGAAUAC